AGAAGGGCCUCAAGAAGAUGCAGGCCAACAAUGCCAAGGCCAUGAGUGCACGUGCCGAGGCUAUCAAGGCCCUCGUAAAGCCCAAGGAGGUUAAGCCCAAGAUCCCAAAGGGUGUCAGCCACAAGCUCGAUCGACUUGCCUACAUUGCCCACCCCAAGCUUGGGAAGUGUGCUCGUGCCCGCACUGCCAAGGGACUCAGGCUGUGCCGGCUAAAGGCCAAGGCCAAGGAUCAAAUCAGCGCCCAGACUGCAGCUCCAGCUUCAGUUCCAGCUCAAGCUCCCAAAGGUGCCCAGGCCCCUACAAAGGCUUCAGAGUA
rnacentral:lncRNA from 1 species